AAUCAAGCGCGAGAAGGGCGUUUGGUGGAUGCCUUGGCAGCAAGAGGCGAUGAAGGACGUGAUACUCUGCGAUAAGUCAUGGGGAGCCGAGAAUAGGCUUUGAUCCAUGAAUCUCCGAAUGGGGCAACCCACCUGACAUUCUGUUAUUGUUAGCCUUCGGGUUAUCAAUAACGGGGUGAAACAGGUACUUAAGACCUGAAUACAUAGGGUUUUAAGAGCAAACCCGGGGAACUGAAACAUCUAAGUACCCGGAGGAAAGGAAAUCAAUUGAUACUCCCCUAGUAGUGGCGAGCGAACGGGGAUCAGCCGAGCCUUGAGAAUGAGAAGAACAUGUUGGGAAGCAUGGCCAUAGCGGGUGAUAGCCCCGUAUUCGAAGUUCGAUGGGACGUAUUAAGUAGGGCGGGACACGUGAAAUCCUGUCUGAAGAUCGGAGGACCACCUUCGAAGGCUAAGUACUCCUUGCUGACCGAUAGCGAACCAGUACCGUGAGGGAAAGGUGAAAAGCACCCCGACGAGGGGAGUGAAACAGUACCUGAAACCGGACGCCUACAAGCAGUCGGAGGGACCUCGAGUCCUGACGGCGUACCUUUUGUAUAAUGGGUCAUCGACUUGGUCUCACGAGCAAGCUUAAGCCGUUAGGUGUAGGCGCAGCGAAAGCGAGUCUUAAUAGGGCGUCGAGUUCGUGGGAUCAGACCCGAAACCGAGUGAUCUAGGCAUGGCCAGGUUGAAGGCAAGGUAACACUUGCUGGAGGACCGAACCCACAUCCGUUGAAAAGGAUCGGGAUGAGCUGUGCCUAGGGGUGAAAGGCCAAUCAAACUCGGAGAUAGCUGGUUCUCCGCGAAAUCUAUUUAGGUAGAGCGUCAUCCGAAUACCCCGGGGGGUAGAGCACUGGAUGGGUAAUGGGGCCCCACAGGCUUACUGAUCCUAACCAAACUCCGAAUACCCGGGAGUACUAGAUGGCAGACACACUGCGGGUGCUAACGCCCGUAGUGGAGAGGGAAACAACCCUGACCUCCAGCUAAGGCCCCCAAUUCAUGGCUAAGUGGGAAAGCAGGUGGGAUGUCCAAAACAACCAGGAGGUUGGCUUAGAAGCAGCCAUCCUUUAAAGAUAGCGUAACAGCUCACUGGUCUAAUCAAGACGUCCUGCGGCGAAGAUGUAACGGGGCUCAAGCCAUGAGCCGAAGCUGAGGAUGCCGUAAGGCAUGGUAGCGGAGCGUAGUGUGACAUAGUCUCAUGUCUCUUUAGCUCAUUUGAUCUCGACCAAUCGCUGAGUGGGUGCAGGCAACUGCCCUCAAGUAGCGAAGCGGUAGGGCAUCAAAAAUGAGCGUCGGAGACGCGAGGCUUUCGAUGAAGCCGGGGCGUGAGCCAUCCGGUGGAGAGAUCACUAGCGAGAAUGAUGACAUGAGUAGCGACAAAGAGUGUGAGAGACACUCUCGCCGAAAGUCCAAGGGUUCCUGCUUAAAGCUAAUCUGAGCAGGGUAAGCCGGCCCCUAAGCCGAGGCCGAAAGGCGUAGGCGAUGGGAACUAGGUUAAUAUUCCUAGGCCAGGAGGAUGUGACGGAUCACGGAUGUAGUUCAGCCUUAUCGGAUUGGCUGGGCUGCUGAGUGGUCCCUGGAAAUAGCCCUCCAUCAGACCGUACCCUAAACCGACACAGGUGGACUGGUAGAGAAUACCAAGGCGCUUGAGAGAACGAUGUUGAAGGAACUCGGCAAAAUACCUCCGUAAGUUCGCGAGAAGGAGGCCCGGGUUCAAGGCAACUUGGAUCCGGGGGCACAAACCAGGGGGUGGCGACUGUUUAUUAAAAACACAGGGCUCUGCGAAGUCGCAAGACGACGUAUAGGGUCUGACGCCUGCCCGGUGCCUGAAGGUUAAAAGGAGGGGUGCAAGCUCCGAAUUGAAGCCCAGGUAAACGGCGGCCGUAACUAUAACGGUCCUAAGGUAGCGAAAUUCCUUGUCGGGUAAGUUCCGACCUGCACGAAUGGCGUAACGACUUCCCCGCUGUCUCCAACAUCGACUCAGCGAAAUUGAAUUGCCUGUCAAGAUGCAGGCUUCCCGCGGUUAGACGGAAAGACCCCGUGCACCUUUACUACAGCUUCGCACUGGCAUCAGGAUUGUGAUGUGCAGGAUAGGUGGUAGGCUUUGAAGCAGGAACGCCAGUUCCCGUGGAGCCAACCUUGAGAUACCACCCUUCGCACUCUUGAUGUCUAACCGCGGUCCGUUAUCCGGAUCCGGGACCCUGCGUGGCGGGUAGUUUGACUGGGGCGGUCGCCUCCUAAAGCGUAACGGAGGCGCGCGAAGGUUGGCUCAGAGCGGUCGGAAAUCGCUCGUUGAGUGCAAUGGCAGAAGCCAGCCUGACUGCAAGACUGACAAGUCGAGCAGAGACGAAAGUCGGCCAUAGUGAUCCGGUGGUCCCGAGUGGAAGGGCCAUCGCUCAACGGAUAAAAGGUACGCCGGGGAUAACAGGCUGAUACUGCCCAAGAGUCCAUAUCGACGGCAGUGUUUGGCACCUCGAUGUCGGCUCAUCUCAUCCUGGGGCUGGAGCAGGUCCCAAGGGUACGGCUGUUCGCCGUUUAAAGAGGUACGUGAGCUGGGUUUAGAACGUCGUGAGACAGUUCGGUCCCUAUCUGCCGUGGGUGUAGGAUACUUGAGAGGAGUUGCCCCUAGUACGAGAGGACCGGGGUGAACGAUCCACUGGUGGACCUGUUGUUGCGCCAGCAGCAGUGCAGGGUAGCUAUGAUCGGACAGGAUAACCGCUGAAGGCAUCUAAGCGGGAAGCCCCCCUCAAAACAAGGUAUCCCUGAGGGCCGUGGAAGACCACCACGUCAAUAGGCCGGAGAUGUAAGCGCAGCAAUGCGUUCAGUUGACCGGUACUAAUCGCCCGAUAGGCUUGAUCCG
rfam:Ruegeria pomeroyi DSS-3, complete genome.